AUUUUAUAUUCUCAGUAGUCUCCACAUCCACAUUCUUGCUGAAACUUGCUACUCUUGUAUUUUUGACAAUAGCCAUCCUGAGAGAAUAGAGAGCCCAGACAUAAACCUAUGCAUAUACCAUCAACUAAUGUUUUCAAGCAUACCAAGAAUAUGCAAUGAGAAGAAAGUUUAUUCAAUAAAUGUUGGGAAAUCUGGAUAUCCACAUGCAAAGGAAUGAAAUUUGACCCUUAUACCUCUCAUGAAAAUUAACUUGAAAUGGAUCAAAGACUUAAAGCCUGCUUUACCCCAAAUUCUAGCCCCAAGGGGAGAAACAAAAAUUGACAGUACAGGAGAUUCCCAAGAGAUGAAGCUUGCUGAAGGGACAGACAGUAGACCACA